GCUGUGGUUUGGAAACAUGAUUGAUUUGGUCUCGUUAUCGUCGGGGUGCAGCCUGAGAAUGCACGAUGAUGAGACAGUAGGAUACAUGUACUUGUACAUUCAGAUCUUGUUAUUCCAACCCACUGGUUUCUGUCGGAUUAACAUGACAAAUGCACAGUGACCGAUGUAAAUUGGUUUAUGUGUGUACCUUCAUCAGAAACUCUAUUUAUGGUCAUUGGUCGAGACGAUUCCGGUGUAUUUGCUCUUCAAAACUAUGAAUUUCCUCAGCGCUGGCUGGCAAUAAAGGAUGGCAUUGUAAUUAACACACUACGCGAAGCUGCCGGUUUUCAUGUAACAUUGCAGUCAUUUAAUUCAUCCGGGUAUCAUCAUCUCGGUUCUCCGAAAUGGAGAUUUGAGACCAGCGAAGGGAGGUCGUGAUUGUCUCUUUAUAGCAGCAACAGUAUUCGUGUGAUCUUUAACAUUUCAAGAGUUGAAGUUGCAUGGAGGCAUUGCACCCAGUCAGAGACUCGAUCUUUGAGUGCCUUUCGGACAAAGCAACUUCUAGAGAACAAGAGUUCAUGACGCUACUAUACUAAACUACAUAAUGAAGGCAGGAAAGCUUGAAUUGAUAUCUUUUUUUGCCAUGUACAUAGCAUUACAUCAACAACAAAUGAAAAUGUGAAGUUGAUGAUAAUAGUGUAUUGCCUCACCUUUAACGGCAGUUUUCUUGUUAAUAUGUGCUAUAGAAUAAUGUGGUUAAUGAA